UGCGGAGGAUCAUUAACGUAUGACGUAUGAUGUGUCGUCACCGUGAACUCGAUCAUUGUCACCUUUCCGUCGACGACGGCGGGUCAGGGUAGGGUGCAGUCCCUUUAAAUGGAGUCGUCUCGGACCGGGCAUCUUCGCUUGCCGCUUCUUCCUCCUCUCGACACGACGCACGCGCAAGAGACGGGUGCGAUCGACCGUCUUUGGCGCGAUCGAGAGUCGAGACGGAGAGCGAGGCGAGAAGCGCGUCUCUCGGGGAUCGGCGUCCGUCGCCUCCGGCCCUCCCGUUUUCGUCGACGUUUUAUUUUUUUUCCAAACGUGAAAGACUGAGUGAGAGAAGCAAAAAAAAAAAAGAGAGACAACUUUUAACGGUGGAUCUCUUGGCUCGUGCAUCGAUGAAGAACGCAGCCAGCUGCGAUAAGUAGUGUGAAUUGCAGAAUUCAGGGAAUCAUCGAAUCUUUGAACGCAAAUGGCGCUCUCGGGUUCUCUCGGGAGCAUGUCUGUCUGAGUGUCGGAAACAACAUAUACCGCUUCGCGCGGGCCUUGAGGCGUCGCGGUCCGUCCGCGUCCUUCGAAAUGCAGUCGCCGCGGCGUUUUCCAUCCGAUUUUCCGGAGGCUUCGAGAGUUUCUCCUCCUCUCGGGAUCGAACGGGCGCUCGCGGCGAAAAAGGAGAUAGCAGGCGCAACCUCUCGCUUAUUAAAUUCGGGAAAGACUACCCGCUGAAUUUAAGCAUAUCAAUAAGCGGAGGAAAAGAAACUAACAAGGAUUCCCCCAGUAACGGCAAGUGAAGCGGAAA
rnacentral:rRNA from 1 species